CGAAGUGGAUCAACGGCUAAAUUCUCAGGCGUCCUGCCUAAACGCCGUCGUCAUCACAUCCUGUGAA
rnacentral:sRNA from 16 species